CUGCAGUAGUCAUAUGCUUGUCUCAAAGCUUAAGCCAUGCAAGUCUCAGUACAGACUAUAUUAAAGUGAAACCGCAAAAGGCUCAGUAAACCAGUUUUAAUUUACUAGAGUUAACUUGACUGUGCUUGGAUAACUGUGGUAAUUCUAGAGCUAAUACAUGCAACAAAGCCGUGACCAUUCGUGGUCAGGGCGCUUUUAUUAGACCAAGACCAAUCGCCCGGCCAGUCCGGGCGUUAAGUUGAGGAACCUAGAUAACACAGCAGAUCGCAUGGUCUUUGUACCGGCGACCUAUCUUUCAAAUGCCUGACUUAUCAACUGACGAUGGUAGACUCUGUGUCUACCAUGGCUGUUACGGGUAACGGGGAAUCAGGGUUCGAUUCCGGAGAGGGAGCCUGAGAAACGGCUACCACAUCCAAGGAAGGCAGCAGGCACGCAAAUUACCCACUCCCGGAACGGGGAGGUAGUGACAAAAAAUAACGAUACGGGACUCGAUAUGAGGCCUCGUAAUCGGAAUGAGUACACUCUAAAUCCUUUAACAAAAAUCUAUUGGAGGGCAAGUCUGGUGCCAGCAGCCGCGGUAAUUCCAGCUCCAAUAGCGUAUAUUAAAGUUGUUGCGGUUAAAAAGCUCGUAGUUGGUUCUGCGUCCCGCGCUGUCGGUACACCGUUUGUCGGUGACACUGGCAUGACGCGGGAUGUCCUGUCGGUGGCGGCGGAGACCAUAUCGCCGUCGGCUAACACCGCGGCGUGUUGGCCUUCUGUCGCCGGCUUUAUCCUACCGCGGUGCUCUUCACUGAGUGUCGAGGUAGGCCGACACGUUUACUUUGAACAAAUUAGAGUGCUUAAAGCAGGCAAAAAUCUCUGCCAGAAUAGUGGUGCAUGGAAUAAUGGAACAGGACCUUGGUUCUAUUCUGUUGGUCUCCGGAACACAAGGUAAUGAUCAAUGUGGACAGGCGGGGGCAUUCGUAUUGCGGCGUUAGAGGUGAAAUUCUUGGAUCGUCGCAAGACGCACUAGAGCGAAAGCAAUUGCCAAGUAUGUCUUAAUUGAUCAAGAACGAAAGUUAGAGGUUCGAAGGCGAUCA
rnacentral:rRNA from 1 species